CCAAGCAGGGAAUGUUUGUCAAGGGCUACACCUACUAAGCAGAUUCGGACAAACCCACCUUGAUUUUGUAGUAUGUAGAAAUGAGGCAUGUGUACCUGCCUGUAGAUCAUUAUUAGUUGUCUCAUGUUGCAAGAACCUGAUAAGUCAUCUACUCGAUUAGUGUUUUUCCUGUACGAUCCGUCGACUAUUUAAUCUAAACUUACGAGUGGAGAAUUUUAACAAAAUCUUGCAACUGAGUUUUUCCCCGAGCCUAUCGUACACUUGCUUUGCAUUUGCGUGGUCUCAUGUUUCUCAGCUUUCUUCCUGUUCAAUGGUAAUUUGGACUGAGCAUUUUCGAAAUUAAGUAGGACUGAUGUUUCAUGAGGUACCUAAUCUUUUGUUGUCCGAGUACACUUCGAAUCUAUGACGUUGAUAUACAUUGUAUGACCAUCCUAGCAUAACUACUUAUGGCCUGAAGUAGAAAGACAAGAAUGUAAUGAUGAGAAUGGUUACAAU
rnacentral:lncRNA from 1 species